AGUGAAGAUGCUGGUUAACUCUUGCAUAAGUCCAACACGUAAUCAGGCCGUGGUUGUGCACUACGAGUCCAACACGUGAUCCAGACCGUGGCGGUGAAUUCCAAGGAUCAGCUGAGCGGGGGGCGGAUCAGCUGGGACACACACACGAACGCUCGCCGCCUUGUAAGCACGAGUCACGGUCACGUUGUGUGCUUGUGGUGCCUGUGUUGCAUGGUGCCGCAGCAGAGCCCCCAGCAGCCCACGCCUCUGUACUGACGGGGCGCUGCUUCCUGCUGGUGUGUGUGUGUGUGUGGUGAGGUGCAGCACGCAGCCACGCCCGGGCACGUCGCAGCAAGGUGACUUACUACAUGUUCUUCAACGUAUGGCUGUUUCCCAAGGCCACAUAGAAGAUUCACCGGGUUCCGUGGGUAAUGUUCCCCCUCAAGAAGCAGAGGCCGCGUAAAACUAUCACCAGUUCACAAAACAGUCCUUGAAAACCCCGGCAACUUCCGCGAGAGGCUUCUCAAACAGAAUUCUCAUCCACAACAAUGACUCGGCCAUUCAACAAAGAGGAGUCAGAUGAGGACGAAGGGAGGCUACCACAGUCUGUCCCUUCGCCAGUCUGCCCAAGCCCGAACCCCAGCCCCACAGCCUCACCCCCACCCUUUCCCGUACAGCCCCCCGCCGCCACAGAGAACUCCUUCCUCACGCCGAAUGAAGAGGAGUUCCAGACCUACUUCGACAAUGAGAAGAUUCACAUUCCUGAGUCUGAGAACAAGAUGUUCAGCUUCCGCAAGUUGUGGGCGUUCACGGGCCCCGGCUUCCUCAUGAGCAUAGCCUACCUGGACCCGGGCAACAUAGAGUCUGACCUGCAGUCCGGGACAGCUGCCAGCUACAAGCUGCUGUGGGUGCUGAUGUGGGCCACGGUGCUGGGCCUGGUGAUGCAGCGGCUCUCGGCCAGGCUGGGGACGGUGACUGGGCUGCACUUGGCCGAGGUCUGCUACCGUUACUACCCCAAGGUGCCGCGCCUCCUGCUCUGGAUCAUGGUGGAGAUCGCCAUCAUCGGCUCGGACAUGCAGGAGGUGAUCGGGACCUCCAUCGCCCUCUACUUGCUGUCCAACAAGGCUAUCCCUCUCUGGGGCGGUGUGCUGCUGACCAUCGCUGACACCUUCACCUUCCUCUCGCUGGAUCGGUAUGGCCUGCGCAAGCUUGAGGCGUUCUUCGGACUCCUCAUCUCCGUCAUGGCCGUCACCUUUGGCUACCAGUACGGCGUGUCCAAGCCAGACCAGGUGGAGGUUCUCAAGGGUCUCUUCAUCCCUGGUUGCUCUGGCUGUGAUAACCGGGCUCUCCUCCAGGCUGUGGGCAUCGUGGGAGCUGUCAUCAUGCCCCAUAACCUGUACCUCCACUCGGCGUUGGUUAAGUCACGCGAGGUGGACCGCAGCAAGAAGGAGGAGGUGCGGGAGGCCAACAAGUACUUCUUCAUCGAGGCGAGCAUUGCCCUCCUCACCUCCUUCAUCAUCAACGUCUUCGUCGUCGCCGUCUUCGCCAAGGGGCUCUUCGGGGUCACCAAUCAGGAGGUGUAUGACCGCUGCAAUGCCACGCAGAACAGCCACAUCGAUGUCUUCCCGGAGAACGAUGAACUGGUGGACGCCGAUCUCUACAAGGCCGGGGUGUUCCUGGGCUGCACUUACGGCCUGGGCUGCAUGUACAUCUGGGCCGUGGGCAUCCUGGCGGCCGGGCAGAGCUCCACCAUGACUGGCACCUAUGUGGGACAGUUUGCCAUGGAGGGCUUUCUGAACCUGCGCUGGAAGAGGUGGCAGCGAGUGUUGCUGACACGGACAAUUGCCAUCACCCCAACCUUCUUUAUUGCCUUUUACCAGGACAUCAAUGACCUCACUGGGAUGAAUGACCUCCUCAACGUCAUCAUGUCCCUGCAGCUCCCCUUUGCUCUCAUCCCCACCCUGACCUUCACCUCAGCUCACAAGGUUAUGGGCGACUUUAAAAAUGGAGUGUUCACCAAGGUCCUGACAUCACUUCUCUCAGUAUUAGUCAUUGCCAUCAACUUGUGGUUCGUCAUCACCUUCCUGCAGACCAGCAUCAGCGGCCAGUGGUGGGCGUACCUCAUAGUGAGCAUGCUUGGCAUCUUCUACUUCAGCCUCAUCAUCUACCUCUCCCUCUACCUGGUGCCGGCGUUUGGCUUCAACUUCUGCUGCAACAUUCCGUUGCUUGGCGCAGUGACUAGCCUGAACCCAGUGGCCCCGAGUGUGCAUGCUGACCCGCCUUGUGCUCUCUCGUUCAUUGAGCUUAGAGCAGAGGGACAGGAGAAGGACCAGAGUUCGUAUCCGACCAUAUAGAGGAGGCGGCGUACAUCCUGGAUGACCUGUCCGAGGAGGUGACUGAGGGGGUACCUGUGACAUUCUACUCUGGACAGCAAGCUUUAACCUCAGAGGAACCCAACUAGCAUUAAUCUACUUCAGAAAAGGAAACAAGAUCACACAACCAUCCCGAGAGCUUUGACACACCCACCAGCAAGGGAAAGACAACCCUCACAACCAGCGGAAGCCCCUCGACCCUCCACUGCCCAUGUAAGGAAGGGUAACAUUCUCCUUGGCAUAUUGGUUCAGUCGAGUCUGUAAAUGGAAAUUGAUUAGGAGGGCGUACCUUGGACAGCGUUGAUCGGUCACGUCUAUACAAAUUAUGCCAAAGUCCAUCUUAAGGUAAAGUUUGGGGCAUUUGCUAAGCUGUGUGUGGCCUCGGUGCUCAUCACUGUCGCUGGAAGUUGUUGGGUCUUUGUAGCUUAAAAAUUUCCUCUCUGAAUUGUCUGCUCUCUUUAUUAAUUGGAUCUCACAUAUUUUCCAAAGCCAUAAAUUCGGCUUGGGUGAGAAAAUGGAUAGUUGUCAGUGUAAAGAUUUAGCACUGUUUACACUGAUCAUAGUAGACCAUUUUCAUCACUCAGCUCAAUGUUCUAUAGUAAGUCUUUAUCCUGAUAUGAGUUUUUUAGAAUGGGUCAUAUAGAUUGGCAAAAAUAUUCAUACCAUAUAUUUGCAUUGGGUCUUGCUGCCUUGUAAACCCUCCUGGCCCUCCAGUUCACACAACCCAUCACCAAGGUCAUCACAGGGAGCAAACAGUUCUUGCUAGUGGAGCAAUACCAACACAGAGGAUGUUUACUGGGAAAAUGUCUAAGCCCUUCCUCAUAUCCAUGCCAUACAUUACGACUGACUGCCUGAUCCAGUGUUCCUUAAUAUUUUCUUUCUGCAGGUCAGUCUUAUUUCAAGCACCACCGUCACGACCCUUUUGGAAACUCCUUUACAGUACGUAGCUUAUGACACAGACGGGGUGGGGCUUAAUAUCAUGUCGCCGGUCCUCACACCAUUUCGCCAACAACUCUGUGACGCAUAUCAACUUUGUUUUAUCUGUGUGUGAAAGAGAUUAUGGUGGAUUUUUUAUUAGAGAAGCUCUUUGCGUUACAGUGGUGCUAACGUUUGAAUGUGCCGAGUGCUGUGUGCUGUUAAGUAGUCAAUGUAAUUCAUAUUUUCGUUUUGUAUUGUGAGUUCUGGAGUCUGAGAGUUUGAAGAGAAUGGGUGGCAGGCACAUUUGCAAUUUGGUGUUAUAAUUUUCAUAUUUUCGUGGCCUUGCACACCUUUGGGUUGUGAGGAGUGAUGGAGAAGCGCAGGUAUGAUGAGGCUUUGCUAGAUGGUGACUCGGUGCUUCAUUUAAACUUAAGAGUAUGCGUUGUAGUCGUCUAUACGCUUGGCACCACACAGAACAUACAACUCAUAUCAAAUUUUUAAAGAAUACAUUGCAGUGCCUUAUGCUCUAUCACUUACUGUUGUCUGAUGCUCUGUGGAGGGUUGGAGUUGUUGUUAAAAGAGUAAGAAGCUAUUUUGACUCAACAUUGAAGUGGAAAAUAAUGUUUAGAGAAAGAAGCAUACAAGCCUGGCCAUGUAUCCUAACACUUUCAUGCAGAGUCUGGUGUCCAUCCGCUCUUGAGGGUUUUACAUACCAAUUUCCUGGACAGUACACGUCAAUAUGUAUCUCAGAGCUUCCACAAGACAAUACUUUGGAACGUCAGGCAGUUGAAGGGCAUUGUAUUGGGAGUAUCAUCUUAGGACCAGCAGCUACAGAGUUUACAUCACUUAGCAGCAGGAUCCAAAGUGUAGUUAUUAAUAUGUUUGUGGCUUCCAGAAAUGUUUAAACCCAAAAAGCAAGAAAGGAAAGAUAGGUUGAUGUGAUAGCACUACAAAGGUCUUGGUUGAACGAGUAUUGUUUCUUGCAUUGAGUCUUCUGAUUUAGUGGUGUAGGUUAUCGUAGUCUUAGUUAUUGUUAUUAUUUGUUGAGCCUCUGUUAUGUUUCUCAGUGCAGGGGAAAACCUUGUCUUAGAAUCUUGAUAGUAUUGAGGUUAUGCCAAGUUAGCACAGGGUAGAGCUUUGUCCAGUUACUUGUCCUCACAUCCUCUGACUUAGAGCAGGGUAGAUCCUUGUCUAAGAGUCUUUAUAAUAGAAUCUUCAACCUCAGUAUAGAGGAGACAGUUCUUUUUAGUUACUUAAGUAUUGAAUCUUCCAUCUUAGCACAGGGGAGAUCUUUGUCUAAGAAUCUUGAACAGUGAAUCUUGCAACUUAGCGCAGGGGAGAUCCUUGUCUAAGAGUACUAGAGAAUCUUACAAUUUACACAGGAAUAUAAUGUUUUUUGUUAGUUAAGUAUUGAAUCUUCCAUCUUAGCACAGGGGAGAUCUUUGUCUAAGAAUCUUGAGCAGUGAAUCUUAUAUCUUAACACAGGGGAGAACCUUGUCUAAGAGUACUAGUGAAUCUUACAACUGAACACAGGGAUAUAAUGUUUUUUGUUAGUUAAGUAUUGAAUCUUCCUUCUUAGCACAGGGUAGAUCUUUGUCUAAGAAUCUUGAGCAGUGAAUCUUAUAUCUUAGCACAGGGGAGAUCCUUGUCUAAGAGUACCAGAGAAUCUUCACACAGGGUAGGUCUUUUUAAUAGUGUAGUUUUAAGUUCUCCAUCUUAGCACAGAGGAGAUCUUUGUUUAAGAAUCUUUAUACUAGUGAAUCUUGCGGCUUAGCACGAGAGAGAUCCUUGUCUAAGCGUCCUUACUGUUGAAUCUUGCAGCGUGGAACAAGAGAGAUUUUUGUCCACGUUGCCCAGCUUUAGUACAUACAGAGAAGUUCCUUGUUUAGUAUACGUCACUUUAGAAUCUUCUGACUUAGCGCAGGGUAGAUCCUUGUUUAAGUUACUGCAUCGUUGAAUCUUUUUAUUUCACCAGGGAGAACAAUGUCAUGACCAGCGUGUUGUUUAUUAUGUUAUGUUGUGAGGGAACAAGUGAGUGGCUGCAGGAACACUUGAGCCACUUAUUCAUAUUUCUGUCAUGUUGAAAGAAACAAAAAAAUAAAAUAAAAAGGUAUAUAUAUAAUGAAAGAAAUAUAUUUGUGAAAGAUUUGUUAGUGUGUGUGUGUGUGUGCGUGUGUGUGUGUAUAGCAGCAAUCAGAGUGCCGUCUCAUAUCUGUAUUGAUUAGUCUUAAGAUGAGUUCAGCAGCACGAGGGUGUCUCAAGCCAUCUCAGGCCCAGCCGGGACUCGUGAUAUCAUGUGUUCUGUGUUAUUCCCAGGUUUUAUAGAUAUGAUUCUGUUGAUUUUGUCACAGAUUUUAUAGACAAUUCUGCUGUUUUUUUUUUCUUUUUUCUUUUUUUUUCUUUUCAUUGUGGUGUUGACAGUGUGAGAGAUUCAAAGGCUGUGUGUGUGUUUGUUGGCAAUACUGCAGAACACUAUGUACUGAUGCAGGGAGCAAAUACAUUAAUACAGCAGAGUGCAUUGACCUUCUGUUGGAUUGUCCCUACUAUAUAAUGUAGGCUUUAUUCCAGUGCCGUUGAUUGUAUCUUUAUCGUGACUGUACAAGUAACAACUCACAGGUUAGUACAUCUGUAUAUCAGUAUGCAAUAUUUUAUCAAGAAUUCCGUCGCCCUUGUAAACAGACUGCCUAUGUAAUUUUUUGGCAAUAUAAUCUGAUGCACAUUUUGAAAUAGCUGCCUUUGCCCUUCAAGCUGUUCUAGAAUUUGCCUUGACAUUUCUGCCAUAUCAUGAGCCAAAUGAGAAAAUGAGUUUUUAUCCAUUUCCCAAGGAGUUGAAAAAUGACUUGGACAGUUUGUUUAUGAGGGUGAUGACAUGCAAUGUAGAUAUUGUUUAUACUUGGUUCACUUUGUAUUUUAUUAUGAUGCAAUUCUUUCCCCAAAGAGUUACAAAUUAGUGCAUCUAUACGUCUGCCAGUAUCCAAUUUUACUUUUAAUGUAGUCUGGAGAUGCUGUGAUUUAGAAGCUUUGUAGAUUCAGUUUACCUUACACCUUAUCAUAAUGUAAACC